GACGAACGCUGGCGGCGAGCUUAACACAUGCAAGUCGAACGGAAAGGCCCUGCUUUUGUGGGGUGCUCGAGUGGCGAACGGGUGAGUAACACGUGAGUAACCUGCCCUUGACUUUGGGAUAACUUCAGGAAACUGGGGCUAAUACCGGAUAGGAGCUCCUGCUGCAUGGUGGGGGUUGGAAAGUUUCGGCGGUUGGGGAUGGACUCGCGGCUUAUCAGCUUGUUGGUGGGGUAGUGGCUUACCAAGGCUUUGACGGGUAGCCGGCCUGAGAGGGUGACCGGCCACAUUGGGACUGAGAUACGGCCCAGACUCCUACGGGAGGCAGCAGUGGGGAAUAUUGCACAAUGGGCGGAAGCCUGAUGCAGCAACGCCGCGUGCGGGAUGACGGCCUUCGGGUUGUAAACCGCUUUCGCCUGUGACGAAGCGUGAGUGACGGUAAUGGGUAAAGAAGCACCGGCUAACUACGUGCCAGCAGCCGCGGUGAUACGUAGGGUGCGAGCGUUGUCCGGAUUUAUUGGGCGUAAAGGGCUCGUAGGUGGUUGAUCGCGUCGGAAGUGUAAUCUUGGGGCUUAACCCUGAGCGUGCUUUCGAUACGGGUUGACUUGAGGAAGGUAGGGGAGAAUGGAAUUCCUGGUGGAGCGGUGGAAUGCGCAGAUAUCAGGAGGAACACCAGUGGCGAAGGCGGUUCUCUGGGCCUUUCCUGACGCUGAGGAGCGAAAGCGUGGGGAGCGAACAGGCUUAGAUACCCUGGUAGUCCACGCUGUAAACGGUGGGUACUAGGUGUGGGGUCCAUUCCACGGGUUCCGUGCCGUAGCUAACGCUUUAAGUACCCCGCCUGGGGAGUACGGCCGCAAGGCUAAAACUCAAAGGAAUUGACGGGGCCCCGCACAAGCGGCGGAGCAUGCGGAUUAAUUCGAUGCAACGCGUAGAACCUUACCUGGGUUUGACAUGGAUCGGGAGUGCUCAGAGAUGGGUGUGCCUCUUUUGGGGUCGGUUCACAGGUGGUGCAUGGCUGUCGUCAGCUCGUGUCGUGAGAUGUUGGGUUAAGUCCCGCAACGAGCGCAACCCUUGUUCACUGUUGCCAGCACGUUAUGGUGGGGACUCAGUGGAGACCGCCGGGGUCAACUCGGAGGAAGGUGGGGAUGACGUCAAGUCAUCAUGCCCCUUAUGUCCAGGGCUUCACGCAUGCUACAAUGGCUGGUACAGAGAGUGGCGAGCCUGUGAGGGUGAGCGAAUCUCGGAAAGCCGGUCUCAGUUCGGAUUGGGGUCUGCAACUCGACCUCAUGAAGUCGGAGUCGCUAGUAAUCGCAGAUCAGCAACGCUGCGGUGAAUACGUUCCCGGG
rnacentral:rRNA from 1 species